UCCAAACUCUCUUCCUGAGUGAUUUGCAAGGGAAAGAAGGUCUUCCAAGGGAACACUUUGAAGAUUCUUGGAGCAGACAAUGAACCAGGUGGCCUCCUAAGUCAAGUCAAAGAAAAGAAGCAGAAAAUGUAGUAUCCCGUGCUCAUCCGGAUAAGGGCUAAGGUGGACCUUAGGGAGAGGAAUACUGUCCUCAGUUCAUGCACAAAAGAAAAGGACCGAGGGCUGGGAGGCAGCAUGAAGGCAACAGAAAGCUCUUUGGGCUCCUAGAGAGUUUGCAGUGCUGGGAAUGUUGGCAGCAGCCCCCUGGGAAGGGCCAGCACCACCCUGAAGGUUGUGGCAGAAACAACUGCCAGGAUAUGGAGGUGCCCAGUGUUCUGGGGCUGUAUCCAGGCCUGGCUAGGCAGCAGCAGCAGGGAAUGGCUGGUACAGACUGAAUAAAUUUCUCAGGAGGCUAUGGGGACCUAUGGAACAGCUUUAUUUUAGCUGUGUUGGGGGAAGCAGUGACAGCCUCCAAAUCAGUUACUUUUUUCACAUUGUUUAUGUUUACUUAUAGACCCUGAAGCUGGGAAAGGUUGAAGACAAAAGGAGAAAGGGAUGGCAGAGGAUGAAAUGGUUAGAUAGCAUCAUUGACUCAAUGGACAUGAAUUUGAGCAAACUCUGGGAGGCAGUGAAGGACAGGGAAGCCUGGCGUGCUACAGUCCAUGGGGUCGCAAAGAGUCAGACACAACUGAGCAACUGAACAACACAAAAAAUUUUAAUUUGUAAGUAUGUUAGUAGAAUAUAUUCAACAGAGAAAGACUAAAAUGCCAUUUUCCAUCACCCUCAAACCUGGUUCCCUCUUCCAUUCUCCAGGAAUAACCACCAUUUGUUCUUGCAUAUUGAGGAACAUUUUUUCCAGAGGAAGAAUUAUUGACUGAAACUCACUGAGAAUACAAGUUUUAAUAGUGCCUUAAAAAUAAAGAAACAUAAAAGAAACAUCUGAAAUAUCUAGAAUUUAGGCAAUACAAAAUGGCCAGUGAAAAGAAGAAGAACUUCCAGGGGACUUCCCUGGUGGUCAAGUGGUUAAGACUGCUUUACCUUCCAAUGCAGGGAGGCAGGUUCAAUCCCUGGUCAGGGAACUAUAUCCCACAUGUCUCUUGGCCAAAAAACCAUAACAGAAAACAGAAGCAAUAUUAUAACAAAUUCAAUAAAGAAUUUAAAAAUAGUCCACAGCAAAAAAAAAAAAAAAAAAAAAAGAAAGAGCUUCCCUUGAGAUGUUGGAAACAUUUAUUCUGUAAGCCCAGCCUCAUAAAUUCAACAUGUCUCAGUGGAAGGAAAAUGGAAUGAAAGCUUUGGACCUAAAUGACUAAUUGAUGUGGCUCCAUGGUGUUUCCCUAAAGACAGACAGAAACAUCUCAGCCCUGAGCUUAUGUCUACAAAGGAGGUAACUGCCAAGGUCUAAGUGCUCAUCCCUAAAGGCUGGUUAGUCUUCCACACCAAUGACUUGAGGUGGGCAAGAGCCAAACAGCUGGUACUCACUGCAGGUGACCUGUUAACAGUUUAUCAGGAGAAUGGUGUUGGAAGAUUUUUAUAAAAUAGGAUUAAAUCCCCUGGUUUGCAGCACUUCACAAAGCAGACGUGAUUCCUCGGGCACAGAAUAGAGAGCGAGGCCUCCAUGUGCUGCUUAAAUCCUUCUUCACGCGUUUCCAUGGAACCAGAUUGUCAGGACCUAAUCCCAUGACUCAGGUGCUCUGAAUGUUCUAUAAUCUUGUAAAUGGUACUUUCAGGGCCCAAAGAGUUCACACAGCUUCCCUGUGGCUCCUGCCCAGGGGAAGAAUCAUUGGCACCUGGCAUUUUGUUCUUUUGACCAGAUCGAUAAGACCCAGGACUCAGCUUGGGUGACUCAGCAGGUCUCCAGAGGGUCGGGAUAGGGGCUGGACUUCUUCAUGCCUGUGGGGGCAAGCCGGUCACCACGUGUCCUGCAUGUUCCUCAUGCCGAGGGCCGCUGGAGGGGAGUGCUCUAAGCUUUCUCUCUGUUGCUGAUGCUCAGGCAGUCGGUUCACAGCAAGUUUGAGCAAGAUACUUCUUAGACGUCAUUUGGCGGCCAGAUUGGUCUUGGACUAACACAAUUUUAAAUCAAAGGAUUUGUUCACAGAAAUGACUAGUUGGGGAUCACGUUGAUCUUGGUGGGAGGAGAAUGGGUCUACAACCUGCAGCCCUGAGCUUGAUCCUGGACAGCCCUGUUCUGUGGGGGUGGCAUGAAGGAUUUAGAAAGAAGAACCUCCCCUCCAGUAAACCUUGUAAAACGGGGAGAGGGCCCCAGGAUAAAUAAACCUUCUUCUAACCAUUGGC